UACGGGGGGGCAAGCGUUGUUCGGAAUUACUGGGCGUAAAGGGCUCGUAGGCGGCCAACUAAGUCCGAUGUGAAAUCCCCAGGCUCAACUUGGGAACUGCAUCCGAUACUGGUCGGCUUGAAUCCGGGAGAGGGAUGCAGAAUUCCAGGUGUAGCGGUGAAAUGCGUAGAUAUCUGGAGGAAUACCGGUGGCGAAGGCGGCAUCCUGGACCGGCAUUGACGCUGAUGUGCGAAAGCUAGGGGAGCAAACGGGG
rnacentral:rRNA from 1 species